GGUUGGAAUUGGGGGUUAAAUCACCAAAGAUGAUUCCCGGGCGCGGCCACCGCUGCUGCUCACUGCUACCCCCACCUCCCAGGGGGUGGAUAAGGGGAUGGGUCAAAUGCGGAGAACACAUUUCACCACACCCACACACUUCCAGGAGUGCGCCAGUCCUGCUGCAGCCGGCAGCUAGUCAAUCACCAGCAAUCAGCACACCUGUUGUUGAUCAGAGAUCCUGCCUUCAAUAGACUGCACAACCUGCUAUCCCGGACCAGAACGUAGUCAUCUGUUCGAGUACCUCUGCCUUGGUUCCAAGUGACGAGCUGUGCGUCUCGUCUCCCCUGUUUCCCCCCUCUGGUUUUCUGGCUUCCCCUUGGAUCUCGACCUCCUGCCUGGACACGGACCUUUUUGACGCAUCGCCAUACCCCCCGACUACCUGCCUGUCUCACGGACAUUCGAGCAUGCCUUUCCCCUCCGGGACUUCUGACCUCCACUCAACACAUCGGGUAACACACAACAGUUAAUUCACACAUAGUUGCGCACUAUACACACUCUUGGAUUUAGUCACAUUCCAUACCCUUGUUUAUUAAUAUUAUUGUUAUUAAUAUAUGUAGUGAUUAUAUAUAAAUAAGUCAGAGCUAAAUACGACUCCCUUGUUGUCUGUGCCGUCUACUCCCCCUGUACAUAACAAUAAUAGACAAAAAAUGUUUGCAGCACAAACAAAUUGAAUAGGUUUGAGGUUUUGACAAGGGGGGGCUAA